AGAGUUUGAUCAUGGCUCAGGACGAACGCUGGCGGCAUGCCUAAUACAUGCAAGUCGAACGCUGAACCUCUCUGCUUGCAGAGGGGGGAAGAGUGGCGAACGGGUGAGUAACACGUGAGAAACUUGCCCAUAAGCGGGGGAUAACAUCCGGAAACGGGUGCUAAUACCGCAUAAGUAAUCACAUCGCAUGACGUGAUUAUGAAAGGUGGCUCUGCUACCGCUUAUGGAUAGUCUCGCGGCGCAUUAGCUAGUUGGUGGGGUAAUGGCCUACCAAGGCGAUGAUGCGUAGCCGACUUGAGAGGGUGAUCGGCCACACUGGGACUGAGACACGGCCCAGACUCCUACGGGAGGCAGCAGUAGGGAAUCUUCCACAAUGGGCGCAAGCCUGAUGGAGCAAUGCCGCGUGAGUGAAGAAGGACUUCGGUUCGUAAAGCUCUGUUGUUGGAGAAGAACAAGGAUAGGAGUAACUGUCUAUCCCUUGACGGUAUCCAACCAGAAAGUCACGGCUAACUACGUGCCAGCAGCCGCGGUAAUACGUAGGUGACAAGCGUUGUCCGGAUUUAUUGGGCGUAAAGCGGGCGCAGGCGGCUCCUUAAGUCUGAUGUGAAAGCCCACGGCUCAACCGUGGAAUGGCAUUGGAAACUGGGGAGCUUGAAUGUAGAAGAGGAAAGUGGAAUUCCAUGUGUAGCGGUGGAAUGCGUAGAUAUAUGGAGGAACACCAGUGGCGAAGGCGACUUUCUGGUCUAUUAUUGACGCUGAGGCUCGAAAGCGUGGGGAGCGAACAGGAUUAGAUACCCUGGUAGUCC
rnacentral:rRNA from 1 species